UCUCCAUGCUCAUCUACAUUCCUUUCUUGUGGCUUCUGCACACAGUAAGUACCUUUCUGCCCUCUGCUCUUUCUAAUCCUACUUAGAGAAUGCUUUUUCUCUGGAGAUGCUCCUAUUUCCUCCACAUCCCACUGAGGGUUCUCCUGACAACUUUGUCUCCAGUAACUGUGCUCAUCUUGUCAUUAAUCUAUUUACUUUCACUGAUUUUCCCUCUUUCAUGAGAAAUUAAACAUCAAUAUUUUAUAUUUAUUUAACCUUUGCCUUCUCUACUAGAAGACACCUGCCACAUGGGAAGGGAUUAUCUCUAUUUUGUUCAUUGUUUUAUACCUAGUGUCGAGGAGACUGUCUGCCACACAGUAGGAGCUUCAUGAAUAAUAUUUGAGUGAAUGAAGAGAUAAAUGAACAUGAGGUUUUUGUACACAAGGGCACCUGCCUAAGUGCUUAAGUUUUCUGCUUCCCAUUCUGUAACUUGUCCAAGAAUCCAAGUCGAGAGGUCCCAGGGGGUACAUACCAAAAACAAGUCUGCUAGACUGCCUGCUUUACUCUGUCCAUGGAACUUUCCAGAACUUCUGCCAUCCGUGAAGAGGCUCUUGAUCCAAACCUUGUCCUCACAUGUCAGUGUCCUUCCUUCUAGCUCCUGUGUCAUCCUAGGAGUGACACAGCCUGGAGUCAACUGAGAAAACACAAAGUCACGCCUGCAAGAGUCCAUUCCAGUGUCACUGUGUUUUAUUUACUUAAUGUUGGGAUGAUGGGAGCCAUUUCUGGGGCCUGCAGAACAGGUAAACAGUCUGUGCCUCUGGGAGAGAGACUGGGAAGCUGCAGGGAGGGCCGGCUUCCCUGUGGGCCUGUCCGAGGCACUGGUCCAUGUGGUGCUGCUUGUGCUUUACAGAUUGCAGCCCUCAUCCCUAUUGACAGAUGUUGCAUGGCUCAUGGAUAUAGUAUGUUUAAUCUCCCAGGCAGAAAUUGAUCUCAAUUGAAUGACCAGGAAGUUGGAUUUACAUUACUGGCAAAAACAGCCACCUUUUCUCUUCAGAUUAAAAAAUAAAUAAAUAAAGG
rnacentral:lncRNA from 1 species